rnacentral:rRNA from 1 species
AACGAACGCUGGCGGCAUGCCUAACACAUGCAAGUCGAACGAGACCUUCGGGUCUAGUGGCGCACGGGUGCGUAACGCGUGGGAACCUGCCCUUAGGUUCGGAAUAACUCCCCGAAAGGGGUGCUAAUACCGGAUAAUGUCUUCGGACCAAAGAUUUAUCGCCUUUGGAUGGGCCCGCGUUGGAUUAGCUAGUUGGUAGGGUAAAAGCCUACCAAGGCGACGAUCCAUAGCUGGUCUGAGAGGAUGAUCAGCCACACUGGGACUGAGGCACGGCCCAGACUCCUACGGGACGCAGCAGUGGGGAAUAUUGGACAAUGGGCGAAAGCCUGAUCCAGCAAUGCCGCGUGAGUGAUGAAGGCCUUAGGGUUGUAAAGCUCUUUUACCCGGGAUGAUAAUGACAGUACCGGGAGAAUAAGCUCCGGCUAACUCCGUG